AACGCGAAGAACCUUACCUGGGCUCGAAGCGCAGUGGACCGGGGUAGAAAUAUCCCUUUUCGCAAGAACCGCUGCGGAGGUGCUGCAUGGCUGUCGUCAGCUCGUGCCGUGAGGUGUUGGGUUAAGUCCCGCAACGAGCGCAACCCUUGUCUGCUGUUGCCAUCACGUUAUGGUGGGCACUCUGCAGAGACUGCCGGUGAUAAACCGGAGGAAGGUGGGGAUGACGUCAAGUCAGCAUGGCCUUUAUGUCUGGGGCUACACACGUGCUACAAUGGCCGAUACAAACCGUCGCGAGCCCGCAAGGGGGAGCUAAUCGGAGAAAGUCGGUCUCAGUUCGGAUUGUCGGCUGCAACUCGCCGGCAUGAAGUUGGAAUCGCUAGUAAUCGCGGAUCAGCACGCCGCGGUGAAUACGUUCCCGGGCCUUGUACACACCGACGCGUA
rnacentral:rRNA from 1 species